UACGUAGGCAGCGAGCGUUGUUCGGAGUUACUGGGCGUAAAGGGUGUGUAGGCGGUUGUUUAAGUUUGGUGUGAAAUCUCCCGGCUCAACUGGGAGGGUGCGCCGAAUACUGAAUGACUUGGAGUGCGGGAGAGGAAAGUGGAAUUCCUGGUGUAGCGGUGAAAUGCGUAGAUAUCAGGAGGAACACCGGUGGUGUAGACGGCUUUCUGGAUCGUAACUGACGCUGAGACACGAAAGCGUGGGUAGCAAACAGG
rnacentral:rRNA from 1 species